rnacentral:rRNA from 1 species
AUAUUGCACAAUGGGCGUAAGCCUGAUGCAGCACCGCCGCGUGAAUGAUGAAGGCCUUNGGGUAGNANAGUUCUUUGAUCAGGGUNGCUAAUGACAGUACCUGAAAAACAAGCCACGGCUAACUACGUGCCAGCAGCCGCGGUAAUACGUAGGUGGCGAGCGUUGGCCGGAAUUACUGGGCGUAAAGGAUGCGUAGGUGGAUACUUAAGUGGGAUGUGAAAUCCCCGGGCUCAACCCGGGAACUGCAUUCCAAACUGGGUAUCUAGAGUGCAGGAGAGGAAAGCGGAAUUCCUAGUGUAGCGGUGAAAUGCGUAGAUAUUAGGAGGAACACCAGUGGCGAAGGCGGCUUUCUGGACUGUAACUGACACUGGGGCAUGAAAGCGUGGGUAGCAAACAGG